AUGGCGGCCAUCCAGAACCUGCAGCUGUGGUGCAAGCAGCAGUGCGAGGGCUACCGCGACGUGAGCAUCACCAACAUGACCACCUCCUUCCGCGACGGCCUCGCCUUCUGCGCCAUCCUGCACCGCCACCGCCCCGACCUCAUAAACUUCAACUCCCUUAGUAAAGAAAAUGUGUAUGAGAACAACAAGUUGGCAUUUCGAGUGGCGGAGGAGGAGCUGGGUAUCCCAGCCUUGCUGGAUGCAGAGGAUAUGGUUGCUCUCAGGGUACCAGACAGGCUGAGCAUCCUCACCUAUGUUUCCCAGUAUUACAACUACUUCCAUGGACGGUCGCCUAUUGGAGGCAUGGCUGGAAUCAAGCGUCCAUCCUCCGAACCUCGGGAUGAGCCUCUUGGGAAGAAAGCCAUUUCAGAGCCUGUUAAACCAGUCCCUCCAAAACUGCCUCCUGCCCACCCACCAGCCAGGGCUAAGCCAAAAGAAACAUCUCCAGUCACCACAAAACGGAUCCUGGCAGAGAGUGGGAAUAUCCGCAGCAACAGCUGUGCUAUGUGUGGAAACCAUGUCCACCUGGUGCAGCGCCACUUGGUCGAUGGGAAGCUCUAUCAUAGGAACUGCUUCAGGUGCAAGCAGUGUUGGAAUGUGCUUCUGUCUGGGGGCUACAAAGCUGGGCCUGAGCCAGGUACUUUCAUCUGUACCAGUCACCAGCAGCCAGACAAUGUCUGGAACUCUGGACAGCAGACUUGGAACAAACCUGAGAGCACCCCAACUCUUACUCCUGCUACAGCAGUCCAGAAACCAGCAGAACCCAAGAAGCUGGAACAGGUGUUGAAGAAACCAAGCCAGGAAGGCCUUGCUAGUUCAACAAAGCUAUCUGUUUCAUCUUCUGGAAGUUCUGGCUUCAAAAGUCUAAAUAUGCCAUGGUCCUCUUCAACUGUAAAUAAAUUGGAUCACCAUGAAGGUACCCCACCAGGACCUCUUUGGAUCACCUCCACAACAAAAACACAGCAAGCUCGAGCAGAAUUUUUUCACUCAUUGGAGUCCCCCAGCAAUAAAACCCCUGACACCAAAAAACAAAUCCCUUCUUCCCAUGGCUCUGCUAGAACUGCCUUUGCCAGAACCACUCCUGUGGUCAGUCCAGUGAAUGCUACGAAGGAUCAGGCACGUAACCAUAUCAUGCAGGCUUUGGCUGGAUCGAACACCUCUCCAAAUAAACCAGGAGGACUCAAUUCUACUGGCUCCCCAGCAUCCAGUAGUGGCAAGUUUUCUCCCGUCAGUUCUCGAUGGCAGAAUCCAGAUCCAAAAACACAGCCCAACAGAAUAGGGUACACAGCGCUGAAACAGGAGAAGGUCACAGAGCCUCUGCCCAAGAGCCAGGCUGCAAGAAAACCUGUUGACUCUGUGCACAAACCGGAGUCUAAAGUCUCCAAAGGAAGCAUGAAUGUUACUGAAGACAACUCUGAGAGCCCAGCUGACUGGAGAUCUCUGUUGAAGCCUGUGGCCAACAAAGACCAAGGUGGCUCUAAGAAACCUUCUGAGAAUUCCCAGAUGAGAACAGAGAGCCCAGCACGGAAGGAGAUAAAGCCAAGUCCAUCUGUUGUCCCAUCAACAAAGGAAGACUCUGCUUCAUCUGGUGGGUUCAUGAAGAAGAAGCUGCUUCCCAGCUCAGAUCUUGUCAGGAGCUGUCAGAAUUUGAGAAAAGGCUGGGAAGACUGUGGAGGCUCUUCCAAGAAGAAGGAAGAGGAGGACCAACAGAAACAGAACACUGACACAUUUAAGCCCUCUGCUCCAAAAAGUAUCCAGAAGCCUGAAGCAGUGUCUCCAAGCAAGCUGCACCCAGACUAUCUACCUGAGGAGGAAAUCCAGGAGAAAGUGCGUGACAUCGAGAAGCAGCUGGAUAAGCUGGAAUUGAAAGGAGUGGAUCUGGAAAAGCAGCUGCGGAGCUGCGAGGGAGAUGAGUCUGAGGAUGCCCUCAUGGUGGACUGGUUCAAACUGAUCCAUGAGAAACAGCUGCUGCUCAGACAGGAAUCAGAAUUGAUGUACAAGAUGAAGCAGCAGAAGCUGGAGGAGAAGCAGUGGAGCAUUGAGACAGAGCUGCGGCACCUCAUGAGCAGGCCAGAGGAACAGAAGACACCGAGGGAGAAGGAGCGAGAGAAGGAGCUGCUAGAGUCAUAUCUUAACACAGUCAAUGAUCGCAAUAAUAUUGUGGAGUGCCUGGAUGAGGACAGACUCAGAGAGCAAGAGGAGGACCAGAUGUUGGCAGACAUGAUUCAGAAGUUGGAUGGACCUCGUGAGAGCCAGGAACCAGAGAAGAAGAAUAAGUUCCGCUUGCCCAAAAUAUGGAAGCAGAAAAAUAAGAACUAAGCUCAGGAGUUAUGUUCUCUUGCCCAGAGCCUCAGAGAGGACUGUUAAAGAGAUGUUCUUUCCUCACUACUGCUUUCCUGAAGUCAUGCAGAACUGUGAUCAGGAUGCUCUUCCCUCUGACAUGGAGACUGCAGGUUUGCAGACCAAAGGGACUGUGUGAGCCCCCUCUGUCCCUGAUAUCUGGUCUGAGUAGGUAAUUUCUGACGCAUCAUUAACACUUCUGAGUAAACAAGGGGAAUUCUCCAAAUUAUUCGCCAUGAGCACAAAGGGAAAUUGGCUUUCAUCAUCUCCCUCUUCAUCCAAGGAAGAAACUGAUCUUGAACAGGCAUGGGGAGGAAGGGAGCCUCAUGGCUGCUCUUGUGUACUUUGAACCAACUUGAGAUGAAGAAGCAAGACAGUCCAGCUUACCCUGCUGACUGCGAGGGCAGCAGUGCCUGCAGCUUUGUCCCUACUGCUGAGCUAAGUGGCAGGUGCUGGUAACUGUAAAUGCAAAGUGCCUCGUGAGUAUGGGAACCUCAGGCAAUUCUUUCCAGUGGUCACCUCCCAUUUUCACCUGGACAAGUCUGUACCUGAAUUGUUUGAGAAGAGACUGGGGACAGAGCAGUUACUACCUUUCUCAAAACCAUCUAGAAAGUUGUGUUUCAGCACGGAGGGUGACAUCCUGGUCCUUGGUGGUUUGGGGCUGAACGGGUAAUUUCUGAGGCCAGCCCAGGUCUAGGAGGGAAGGACAGAACUUGGUUGAUAUGGAGGGCCACACAGGUAGUCCCUGGGGAGCAUUUGAGAUGCUUUUAGCAGCUGGGGUGGGAGGAGAUGGCUGGAGAGGACCUCUUUGCUCGGAGGUUGGCAUUUCGGCUUAGUACAGAACUCCAAGGAAAGAGACUUCAUUAGAGAGGUGGCACAUGGGGCUUUUAGGUGAAGCAAUUGCACCAGUCUGAGCACCCAGGCAUCUCCCCUUGCUGUGCACCACACUGACAGCCAGUUCACCCGGCCUCGAAUGCGGUGCCAGAGUGUCUGCGGUAGCAACCAAUAGAGCGAAGGUUAUUUAUAUUCAUGUUGCGGCUCUGCCAGCCGUGACUCUGUUAUCUGCCAUGCAUGAAUAUUAUUUGAAUACAGAGUUUGUCGUGACUAUUCUUCCGCGUGAAACAAGGGAUUUGCUGUGGGAUAGGAGCCCUCCCUCCAGCUGUCAAUCAGGAGGGGUUUCCUUUUCCUGUCUGGUUGGAAGCUGCAUCCCCAGCAAGGUGAGACAGUGGACACUUUUUCUGUUGUUAAUAUCCAUGUCUAAUCUCCUCUCAGAGGGGCCCUUUGUCCUAUACUGUAGCCAAGAUGAGUAAUUCAGGGAUAGAUGAGACGCUAUAAUUGGUUUGUGACAAAUUAAAACAUUUUUCCUUCAGAGCUGAGAGCAGGACUGUGGUCUGGAGCUGUCAAGCAUCACGGGGGAGGGUGAUUUUUGGAGUAAGCGCAUUGCAAAUUGGCUCCAGAUAUGCCUUGGAGUCUGAAAUUAAACUCCAGCUGGUGACUUCUCAGUUGGGAUUUUAUUUUUGGAGUAGGGAGAGAGGGACAAAGGGAUCGUGUGAGGGGGAGAGGCUGAUCAAUAAAGAGAAUGCAGGGAGGAUGUGGCUUUUUUUGCAUUGUUCAGAGAGCCAUGGUUAGGAUGCAGGAAGCCUGCAAAGGUGUGAUGGGAGUGAGCAGGCCAAGAGGUGGAGCCCAUCUUUGCCUACCUUUCCUCUACACUGCUCCCUACUCAUCUCAUCCAAGCUGGUCUAAGCGGUUCUUCCCCCUGCCUCCUUCACAUCCCAUCAAGGAAGAACCAUGAUGAAAAGCUGUGGCUAGCACAUCUGCACUCCUUUGGUGUAAAACAGUGUCCAGUAAUUUGCAGGCUGGUCCUUGCCACGUGUUGCUUUAAUUCCAGCAUUAAGAGAAGAUCCUUUGUCCACAUAGAGAGCAAGGAACCGGCUAAAAGUUGGGAACAUAGAGGUGAUCUGAUAGACAGUUUGAUGAAGUACCUGGAUGUGCUUCCAAGGUGUUUAUAAGCCAACUUUGGACAAAGUGAUGGAGGCAGAAGGAAAACCACUUCCUGAUGCAAAUGUUCGAUGCUGUAAUGGAGAAUGCAACAACAGCAUUGUCUCCAUCAUUUGAUGGAGAUGGAUGGAGAAUAAAAGUAUAUGAACAGCAGGUUUGAGAAGGAUGUGGAUCUGCAGAGGACACUUAAAAGAGGUAAGAAGAGUAGCUUGGAGGGAUGAUUCAUAUUUAAAAACUAGAGUGGAAGAAAGCUCUGAGAUGGGAAGAGUAGACAAACUCCAAAGGACAGGGCUGUUAGGGGCUGAGCCUUGCCAGACUGGCUGGAUGCAGAGCAGAGGUAAAUUCAAUAAGAGAAUGGGUCAUAUGAGUGGGAACAAGGCCUUGAGUUGUUUGCCUCAAGAUUUUUUUAUCUGAUACUGAAGAGACAGGACAGCCAAGGAAAGGGUGAUGUGAAUUUUCCAAUAGAGUAUAACUUGAAAUGAAGGAAAGAGCUCUGGUAGAGAAACUUGUAGGUAUCGAAACAGGAAAAGCACAAAAGCUUUCAGGGGUUCGGAGUUCAGAGCUGGGAGGUGUUAGAUGAUGACAUAGGGCUGAGGUUUGGGCAUCUCCUAGAUAUGAAGGGUGUAACUAGCAGGCAGGAUGGCAGGCCCAGGGUGACAAGGCAUUGGAGGUUUUGAGAGGAAAGAUCACGGGAUCUAGCUUAGCUAUGGAAAGUGUAGAUGCUGCAAAUCCUGAAAGGCAGGAUCAGAUGGCGAGCUGUGACUGGUGUCACUUGUAUUAAGACGUUAGCUAAUCUGGUUUAAGGGGAUAAGCCCAAGAAAAACUGUAGAGAUGUAAAUUGGAGCCUGUCACUCUUCACUCUCCUAUGGAAAGCAGACAUGGGGAGGAGGAUAUGCUGACAGAGACCCUGGAUAGUUGAUCAGAAGCAUAGGCCAACAUGGAGGAGUACUGUGAAGAUGAAGAGUCAUGAGGCAUCAGGUAAGAAGGAAUGACAAGAAUUGCCAAAAACUACAGUCAUGUAAUCUGGGUAGAGAAAUGUAGGCCUUCAGCUCUGGCAGUGAGAGGCCAUGGGAUGGCGUCAGUGGGGCUGACACUGGGGUGGCCACAGUCUCUGCCAGGGCAGAAACAGGGGUGGAGAUGAUGCUGGAUGUGUGCAAGAAGGGAAACCACAAUACAGAAAGUAUGUUUACAAAGAGGAAAGAAAUUUCUGUGCCUUAAAAUGCCAAAACAUUACAAGAAAUCAUUUUUUUUCGGUAAAUGCCUAGGCCUAACAAGAGGACUAGCUGGUUCGAAGGAAGGUUUGUGUUCUUAGAUGCAGUUACCUGAACAGAACCACUGAAUUUUUCUACUGACCCCCUGUACAUGUAUACAGUGCCUUAUGGAAAGGUGCAAUUGCAAUUCGUACUGCCAGACAUCCUCCUCAGAAACAGGGUAUUUUCCAUUUCCAUUUUGGUGAUAGGUAGUUGCUGUCUUUCUGUGGUGCCCUCCUUUGCAAUGAGCUUCUGCUCAUUUCACUGCUAUUCUCAAUCUUCCUUGUCUUCCUGGCAAAUGGCUAAUGAUAAAAACUAGGUUAAGCAUAAAUUGGCUUUCUGAAUGUCCCCAACUUGCUGAGGACUUAAAUAUGGGAAAAGAGCCUGUAUGUAACUGCUGAAACUUCCCCACUCUCUGGCUUGCCAGGAGUACAUCAUGUCCAGCAGUCUGUAGACCACAUAAUUCUUUCAACAACUCAGACGCCAAUAAUAUUCUUGUAACUUGCUGAGACUUUGGGAUCUGUGAUGUUGUAGAAUAUUGCAGCUAAAUUGUUUAAGGACGGGGGAAGGAAGUGAUGAGAAAAAGCAGGCAAAAAUCUGCUUAAACAAAGGUUAGCUGCAGCUGAACGAAGUGGUUAAGUGGAGGCACUUGAGUGUUUCAGUUCAUAUUACUGAAGUGUUUGCUGUAUUUCAGAAUUCGUGCUCAACUUUACUGCCCUUUUACAAGCAUGAUGUUGUAACAGCAGAAAUCUCUUCCUUGAGCAAAAGGAUAGCUGGAGUUCAGUUUCCUUGCUGAUGAGGAUAGAAUCCCAUGUGCUAGGUGAAACUGGUGAGGCUAGUAGUAAAUCUAUAGAAGUGCAGCGAUUAUGGUCUGGGAAGCUUAUGUGAUGCAUAUCAAAGACAGUAUGUGAAUUGUGUAAGUGUGAUGUAGGUCUGGCACUAAAAUGAUAAGAGUCAUAUCAAGGGAAUAACUUAAUUAACUGGUCUUGAUCAAAGAACUAUAUGAAUUCAAUAGCCCAGUUUUCAGAGCUAAAUGAUGAAGUUUAGAAAAACUGUACUUGACGCAAUUAUCAAUUUUCCUGUCCAAGGAGCUUUGAAGUUGUAUUAAGAAGGGACAGUCUAUUGUUCCAUUUAGGACAACUUUUUCCCUUCCCCAAGUGAUCAGAAGGCAAAGGGGCUCUGUAUCCUUUUUCAAGUGCUCAUUUGAAAUGGUCGGAGGCAUAAUAAACAGUGGAUGCCAAGGGGAACAGUAUCUCUGCUUUCACAAAUUAAUUGUUUCAGAUGGUGUAAAUCAGAAACAAAGAGCUGUCCUUUGCCUGACAGUCAGUAAAAUGUUUUAAUUUCCCUAAAGCUUUCAUUUUGCUUAGAAAUUUGGAGAGGAAGUAGUCCUGUUUAACUUCCUAGGAGCCUGGACCUUUUGGUUUUGGUCUUUGUAGCAUGAUUGUGCACCUACAAAGGGAAGGAAGUGUGCUAUCUAAAUAGGAUGAUGGAUUUCACAGCAAAGAAGGAGUUAAGCUGUAGAAAGGUUUCUAGUGCCAUGUGUGUUUACCAACUUGUAUGUUGAUGUCUAUCUACAUCAUUGUCUGGUG